GACGAACGCUGGCGGCGUGCUUAACACAUGCAAGUCGAACGGAAAGGCCCUGCUUUUGUGGGGUGCUCGAGUGGCGAACGGGUGACUAACACGUGAGUAACCUGCCCUUGACUUUGGGAUAACUUCAGGAAACUGGGGCUAAUACCGGAUAGGAGCUCCUGCUGCAUGGUGGGGGUUGGAAAGUUUCGGCGGUUGGGGAUGGACUCGCGGCUUAUCAGCUUGUUGGUGGGGUAGUGGCUUACCAAGGCUUUGACGGGUAGCCGGCCUGAGAGGGUGGCCGGCCACAUUGGGACUGAGAUACGGCCCAGACUCCUACGGGAGGCAGCAGUGGGGAAUAUUGCACAAUGGGCGGAAGCCUGAUGCAGCAACGCCGCGUGCGGGAUGACGGCCUUCGGGUUGUAAACCGCUUUCGCCUGUGACGAAGCGUGAGUGACGGUAAUGGGUAAAGAAGCACCGGCUAACUACGUG
rnacentral:rRNA from 1 species